AUUGAACGCUGGCGGCGGGCCUAACACAUGCAAGUCGAGCGGAUGAAGGGUGCUUGCUCCUGGAUUCAGCGGCGGACGGGUGAGUAAUGCCUAGGAAUCUGCCUGGCAGUGGGGGAUAACGUCUGGAAACGGGUGCUAAUACCGCAUACGUCCUGAGGGUGAAAGUGGGGGAGCUUCGGACCUCAUGCUCUCAGAUGAGCCUAGGUCGGAGUAGCUAGUUGGUGGGGUAAAGGCCUACCAAGGCGACGAUCCGUAACUGGACGGAUAGAGUGGUCAGUCACACGGGAAGGGAGACGCGGACCAGACUCCUGCGGUACGCAGCAGUGUGGAAUAUUAGGCAAUGGGCGAGAGUAUUAUCCAACCAGGCCGCGUGUGUGAAGGAGGUCUUCCGAGUGUAAAGCCGGUUUAGUGGGGAGAAAGGGCAGUAAGUUGAGACCUAGCUGUUGUGACGGUAACAACAGAAGAAGCACCGGCUAACUACGUG
rnacentral:rRNA from 1 species